rnacentral:rRNA from 1 species
ACGGAAGGCAGCAGUGAGGAAUAUUGGUCAAUGGGCGAGAGCCUGAACCAGCCAAGUCGCGUGAAGGAUGAAGGUUCUAUGGAUUGUAAACUUCUUUUGUUCGAGGGUAAAGUGAGGGAUGCGUCCCUUAUUGCAAGUAUCGAACGAAUAAGCAUCGGCUAAUUCCGUGCCAGCAGCCGCGGUAAUACGGAAGAUGCGAGCGUUAUCCGGAUUUAUUGGGUUUAAAGGGAGCGUAGGCGGGUCUUUAAGUCAGUGGUCAAAGCGUGUGGCUCAACCAUACCACGCCAUUGAUACUGGAGACCUUGAGUGCACAUAAGGAUGGUGGAAUUCGUCGUGUAGCGGUGAAAUGCUUAGAUAUGACGAAGAACUCCGAUUGCGAAGGCAGCUGUCCGGGGUGUAACUGACGCUAAUGCUCGAAAGUGCGGGUAUCAAACAGGAUUAGAUACCCUGGUA